rnacentral:rRNA from 1 species
AACAAACGCUGGCGGCAGGCUUCAUACAUGCAAGUCGAGCGGAAAGGCCCUUCGGGGUACUCGAGCGGCGAACGGGUGAGUAACAGGUGGACAAUCUGCCCUCUGGCGGGGGACAACAGCUGGAAACGGCUGCUAAUACCGCAUGUGGUUGCAUGCCCCAGGGUGUGCAAAGAAAGGCGCGUUUGCGUCACCAGAGGAUGAGUCCGCCCCCCAUUAGCUAGUUGGUGUGAUAACAGCGCACCAAGGCUUCGAUGGGUAGCCGAGCUGAGAGGUUGAUCGGCCACACUGGGACUGAGACACGGCCCAGACACCUACGGGUGGCAGCAGUAGGGAAUAUUGGACAAUGGGCGAAAGCCUGAUCCAGCCAUGCCGCGUGAGUGACGAAGGUCUUCGGAUUGUAAAACUCUUUUAUGAGGGAAGAACCGCCUAGGGAGGAAAUGCCCUGGGUCUGACGGUACCUCAGGAAUAAGGGACGGCUAACUCCGU